rnacentral:rRNA from 1 species
CUACGGACAAAGGGCAGCAAGUUCGCGAGGACAAGCAAAUCCCAUAAACCGUGGCUCAGUUCAGAUCGUAGGCUGCAACUCGCCUACGUGAAGGAGGAAUCGCUAGUAAUCGCAGGUCAGCAUACUGCGGUGAAUACGUUCCCGGGCCUUGUACACACCGCCCGUCACACCAUGGAAGUUGGCCACGCCCGAAGCCGUUACUCCAACCCUUGUGGAGGAGGACGUCGAAGGUGGGGCUGAUGACUGGGGUGAAGUCGUAACAAGGCAUCCGUACCGGAAGGUGCGGAUGGAUCACCUCCUAA